rnacentral:rRNA from 1 species
CUUUGCUGACGAGUGGCGGACGGGUGAGUAAUGUCUGGGAAACUGCCUGAUGGAGGGGGAUAACUACUGGAAACGGUAGCUAAUACCGCAUAACGUCGCAAGACCAAAGAGGGGGACCUUCGGGCCUCUUGCCAUCGGAUGUGCCCAGAUGGGAUUAGCUUGUUGGUGGGGUAACGGCUCACCAAGGCGACGAUCCCUAGCUGGUCUGAGAGGAUGACCAGCCACACUGGAACUGAGACACGGUCCAGACUCCUACGGGAGGCAGCAGUGGGGAAUAUUGCACAAUGGGCGCAAGCCUGAUGCAGCCAUGCCGCGUGUAUGAAGAAGGCCUUCGGGUUGUAAAGUACUUUCAGCGGGGAGGAAGGGAGUAAAGUUAAUACCUUUACUCAUUGACGUUACCCGCAGAAGAAGCACCGGCUAACUCCGUGCCAGCAGCCGCGGUAAUACGGAGGGUGCAAGCGUUAAUCGGAAUUACUGGGCGUAAAGCGCACGCAGGCGGUUUGUUAAGUCAGAUGUGAAAUCCCCGGGCUCAACCUGGGAACUGCAUCUGAUACUGGCAAGCUUGAGUCUCGUAGAGGGGGGUAGAAUUCCAGGUGUAGCGGUGAAAUGCGUAGAGAUCUGGAGGAAUACCGGUGGCGAAGGCGGCCCCCUGGACGAAGACUGACGCUCAGGUGCGAAAGCGUGGGGAGCAAACAGGAUUAGAUACCCUGGUAGUCCACGCCGUAAACGAUGUCGACUUGGAGGUUGUGCCCUUGAGGCGUGGCUUCCGGAGCUAACGCGUUAAGUCGACCGCCUGGGGAGUACGGCCGCAAGGUUAAAACUCAAAUGAAUUGACGGGGGCCCGCACAAGCGGUGGAGCAUGUGGUUUAAUUCGAUGCAACGCGAAGAACCUUACCUGGUCUUGACAUCCACGGAAGUUUUCAGAGAUGAGAAUGUGCCUUCGGGAACCGUGAGACAGGUGCUGCAUGGCUGUCGUCAGCUCGUGUUGUGAAAUGUUGGGUUAAGUCCCGCAACGAGCGCAACCCUUAUCCUUUGUUGCCAGCGGUCCGGCCGGGAACUCAAAGGAGACUGCCAGUGAUAAACUGGAGGAAGGUGGGGAUGACGUCAAGUCAUCAUGGCCCUUACGACCAGGGCUACACACGUGCUACAAUGGCGCAUACAAAGAGAAGCGACCUCGCGAGAGCAAGCGGACCUCAUAAAGUGCGUCGUAGUCCGGAUUGGAGUCUGCAACUCGACUCCAUGAAGUCGGAAUCGCUAGUAAUCGUGGAUCAGAAUGCCACGGUGAAUACGUUCCCGGGCCUUGUACACACCGCCCGUCACACCAUGGGAGUGGGUUGCAAAAGAAGUAGGUAGCUUAACCUUCGGGAGGGCGCUUACCACUUUGUGAUUCAUGACUGGGGUGAAGUCGUAACAAGGUAACCGUAGGGGAACCUGCGGUUGGAUCACCUCCUUACCUUAAAGAAGC